rnacentral:lncRNA from 1 species
CUGCAGAAGUAGACAAAAGUUUUGGGAAAAACAAGUAUCUGCUCCACACUCCCUUCCCUGGAAGGAACUCUUUAUCUUGAGUCUAAUUAGUGGAUCCAAGGUAAGUAAAACCCAAGUUUGUUUGCUCUCAAUUAAAGCUCUUUUUAUGGUAUACCCAGAGGCACCACUUAGGUGUGCAAACCAAAUGAGAUGAAUAAAAAGUACUCUGAUUAACUCCUCCAAAGAUUGUCAAUGCAUUUUUGUUUUGAGAAAUUGAUGUUAGGAACUUAAACAGGAAUCCUUAACACUUAGGAGAAAAGUAUGUAUGCAUGUCAAUCAUUCUUAUAUAUUUGUUUCCAUAGCAAGGAGUUUACAAAGAAACUGCCCUAUGGAUUGGGAGUGAGGAAAGGAAUAGGAGAGUGUUUUCACCUACGAAGAAAUAAAGGAAACAACCACUUCAAAUUUAUCCUAUUCUACCAUGAAGACUACUUGUGGGAAGAGAGGAAAAUACUUUUUGCCUCCUGCAAAACAAAGUCCAUCUGAUGGAAGUGUGGGUAAGUAACAAAUUGAAGAACAUCAAGAUAAGAGGCAAGUACACCAGGUAUGAAGCUAUUAUCAAAGAGCAAAAUGCUGAAGACCUGAAGUAAGGCAGUGGCAUUAGCAGGAGAAAUGGUGAGGGAAGAAUAUAUUUGAGAUAUAUUUCAAAGAGGGAAUCCUCAGGAGUGGAUUCAGUGACUAAAUCAAUCUGGGCCAAUGGUAUAGGGGAACAUGAUAGAGCAGAGGUGUGAAAAGAUUGGUAGGGGAUGAAGGGCUCUGUUUGUCAUUUAGAAUUUUGUUUGGGAUAGUGAACAGUUAGAGGUGACAUCCACUGUUUGAGAUACAGAAAGAAAUGCCUAUUUUGGGAGAAAUUUAGAAGUCCAGUUUUUGGCAAAUUGGGAUUGAGGUACUAAAUGAAGGUGUUAGGAAAGUACUUAGAUGCGUGUGUCUGGAAUUUCUUCUAAGAGUGGUCUGAACUGGAGAAGUGAGGUUUAGGAGUGGAUUAUUUAGGGACUAUGCUCAAGUGCAAGUCUAACAAACUCAGCUACAGGAGCUUAACCAAAUAGUUAUUUUUCUUAAGUAAAAAGAGCCCAGAGUUAAGUAGUCCAGAAUUAGUGUGGUAGUUCCAUGAUUUCACCAGUGUUUCAGGUUCUUUUUAUCUUUCUGUUCUAUCAUCCUUAGUGUCUUUGGUCAGGUUUCCAAGAAGCAGUGUCUUUUAUGAAGAUUCAGGUCAUGAGAUUCAUUAAGGGAAUGCUCUUCUUGAGGAUAAAACCUGUAAGGGAAAGUGGAAGGCAGGAUGGAGAAGGGGAGAGAGCAAGUAGUUUUACCAACUUAAAUAUUAAAAGUGGACCAUGCAUGAACCAGUGAUGAGUGUGUCAUGAACCAAGGGUUAUGACUAAUCCCAUUCUAUGAACAUGUGGUCCAAGGAAAAAUCAAAAGAAUGGAUGAAGAGAGGAAGGAAUUCAAGGAAUAUAAAGUUCUUCUUUCAAGUAGUCUGACUUUGAAU